rnacentral:rRNA from 1 species
GGACCCGCACAAGUAGUGGAGCAUGUGGUUUAAUUCGAAGAUACGCGCAGAACCUUACCAACACUUGACAUGUUCGUCGCGACUUUAAGAGAUUAAAGUUUUCGGUUCGGCCGGACGAAACACAGGUGCUGCAUGGCUGUCGUCAGCUCGUGUCGUGAGAUGUUGGGUUAAGUCCCGCAACGAGCGCAACCCUCACUUUUAGUUGCCAUCAUUAAGUUGGGCACUCUGAAAGAACUGCCAGUGAUAAGCUGGAGGAAGGUGGGGAUGACGUCAAGUCCUCAUGGCCCUUACGUGUUGGGCUACACACGUGCUACAAUGGUAUCUACAACAGGAAGCAAGACUGCGAGGUCAAGCAAAUCCUAAAAAGAUACCUCAGUUCGGAUUGCACUCUGCAACUCGAGUGCAUGAAGCUGGAAUUACUAGUAAUCG